rnacentral:rRNA from 1 species
UGGGGAAUAUUGGGCAAUGGGGGAAACCCUGACCCAGCGACGCCGCGUGAGGGAAGACGGCCUUCGGGUUGUAAACCUCUUUUGUAUGGGAAGAAGGACGUGACGGUACCAUACGAAUAAGUCCCGGCUAACUACGUGCCAGCAGCCGCGGUAAUACGUAGGGGACGAGCGUUGUCCGGAAUUACUGGGCGUAAAGGGCGCGCAGGCGGUUUGUCAAGUCAGCUGUUAAAAAUGGGGGCUUAACCCUCAUAUGCUGUUGAAACUGGCAGACUGGAGUGCUGUAGAGGCAAGUGGAAUUCCCAGUGUAGCGGUGAAAUGCGUAGAUAUUGGGAAGAACACCGGUGGCGAAGGCGACUUGCUGGGCAGCAACUGACGCUGAGGCGCGAAAGCCAGGGGAGCAAACG